rnacentral:rRNA from 1 species
CAAAUCAGACAAGGCGACCCGCUG